AUGAACGCUGGCGGCGUGCCUAAUACAUGCAAGUCGAGCGAACAGACGAGGAGCUUGCUCCUCUGACGUUAGCGGCGGACGGGUGAGUAACACGUGGAUAACCUACCUAUAAGACUGGGAUAACUUCGGGAAACCGGAGCUAAUACCGGAUAAUAUAUUGAACCGCAUGGUUCAAUAGUGAAAGACGGUUUUGCUGUCACUUAUAGAUGGAUCCGCGCCGCAUUAGCUAGUUGGUAAGGUAACGGCUUACCAAGGCGACGAUGCGUAGCCGACCUGAGAGGGUGAUCGGCCACACUGGAACUGAGACACGGUCCAGACUCCUACGGGAGGCAGCAGUAGGGAAUCUUCCGCAAUGGGCGAAAGCCUGACGGAGCAACGCCGCGUGAGUGAUGAAGGUCUUCGGAUCGUAAAACUCUGUUAUUAGGGAAGAACAAAUGUGUAAGUAACUAUGCACGUCUUGACGGUACCUAAUCAGUAAGCCACGGCUAACUACGUG
rnacentral:rRNA from 1 species